AUGAAAGCGGCAAGAGAGACCCGUCCACGUUAUAACAUCAUGGGCGCCGAAGGGGCAAAACCGCGAAGGUUGAAACUCUCAGGCAUAAGGAUUGCCGCCGGACA
rfam:Cloacibacillus evryensis DSM 19522 genomic scaffold CloevDRAFT_Scaffold1.1, whole genome shotgun sequence.